rnacentral:rRNA from 1 species
GACGAACGCUGGCGGCGUGCUUAACACAUGCAAGUCGAACGGAAAGGCCCUGCUGGUGUUGGGUGCGCGGGGGGCGAACGGGUAAGUAACACGUGAGUAACCUUCCCUUGCCUUUUGGAUAACGUCAGGAAGCGGGGGUUAAGACCAGAUAGCAUCUCCGCCUGGAUGGUGGGGGUUGGAUAGUUUGGGCGUUUGGGGAUGGACGCGGGGCUUACAGGUUUGUUGGUGGGGGGUUGGCUUACCAAGGCUUUGGCGGGUAGCCGGCCUGGGAGGGUGACCGCCCACAUUGGGCCUGAGAUACGCCCCAGACUCCACCGGGAGGAAGAGGGGGGGAAUAUUGCACAAUGGGAGGAAGCCGGUUCAAGAAACGCCGGGUGCGGAAUGACGGCUUCCGGGUUGUAACCAGCUUCAGCAUGUGACGAAGCGGUAGUGACGGUAAUGGGAGAAGAAGCACCGGCUAACUACGUG